AUUGAACGCUGGCGGCAGGCCUAACACAUGCAAGUCGAACGGUAACAGGAAACAGCUUGCUGUUUCGCUGACGAGUGGCGGACGGGUGAGUAAUGUCUGGGAAACUGCCUGAUGGAGGGGGAUAACUACUGGAAACGGUAGCUAAUACCGCAUAACGUUGCAAGACCAAAGAGGGGGACCCUCGGGCCUCUUGCCAUCGGAUGUGCCCAGAUGGGAUUAGCUUGUUGGUGGGGUACCGGCUCACCAAGGCGACGAUCCCUAGCUGGUCUGAGAGGAUGACCAGCCACACUGGAACGGAGGCACGGUCCAGACUCCUACGGGAGGCAGCAGUGGGGAAUAUUGCACAAUGGGCGCAAGCCUGAUGCAGCCAUGCCGCGUGUAUGAAGAAGGCCUUCGGGUUGUAAAGUACUUUCAGCGGGGAGGAAGGGAGUAAAGUUAAUACCUUUGCUCAUUGACGUUACCCGCAGAAGAAGCACCGGCUAACUACGUG
rnacentral:rRNA from 1 species